rnacentral:rRNA from 1 species
GACGAACGCUGGCGGCGUGCCUAAUACAUGCAAGUCGAACGAGAGCGCCCGGUUCUUGCACUGGUCAAUCUAGUGGCGAACGGGUGAGUAACACGUGGGUAACCUGCCCAUCAGAGGGGGAUAACAUCCGGAAACGGAUGCUAAAACCGCAUAGGUCUUCGAACCGCAUGGUUUGAAGAGGAAAAGAGGCGCAAGCUUCUGCUGAUGGAUGGACCCGCGGUGCAUUAGCUAGUUGGUGAGGUAACGGCUCACCAAGGCCGUGAUGCAUAGCCGACCUGAGAGGGUGAUCGGCCACAUUGGGACUGAGACACGGCCCAAACUCCUACGGGAGGCAGCAGUAGGGAAUCUUCCGAAAUGGACGCAAGUCUGACGGAGCAACGCCGCGUGAGUGAAGAAGGUUUUCGGAUCGUAAAACUCUGUUGUUAGAGAAGAACAAGUGCUAGAGUAACUGUUAGCGCCUUGACGGUAUCUAACCAGAAAGCCACGGCUAACUACGUG